UACGUAGGGGGCAAGCGUUAUCCGGAUUUACUGGGUGUAAAGGGAGCGUAGACGGCAGCACAAGUCUGGAGUGAAAUCCCAUGGCUUAACCAUGGAACUGCUUUGGGAACUGUGCGGCUGGAGUGCGGGAGGGGCAGGCGGAAUUCCUGGUGUAGCGGUGAAAUGCGUAGAUAUCAGGAGGAACACCGGCGGCGAAGGCGGCCUGCUGGACCGCGACUGACGUUGAGGCUCGAAAGCGUGGGGAGCGAACAGG
rnacentral:rRNA from 1 species